AAUAAAUAAAGAAAUCUCUAAAUACAUUUAGCAAAAAAAUUAUUAUUAUAAAAUUUGGAACGACAAGUUGACUUAGGAAUUGAUGAUCCCAACAUAAAAUUGAGUUGGUUCUUCAGUUGAAUUGAAUAAAAAAAUGACUCAGAAAAAAGCAGAUAAUCUGAUGAUUGAAUUAGUGGUUUGUUGACCUAAUAAAUCAUUGACCCAUCUAAUUUAAAUUUUUUUAAAAUAUUAAAAUAUCAUUAAUGAUAUUGAUUUUUUAAUAUUAAAAUUUUUAAAUUUAUAAUUAGU
rnacentral:misc_RNA from 1 species